rnacentral:rRNA from 1 species
AUUGAACGCUGGCGGCAGGCCUAACACAUGCAAGUCGAGCGGUUGAAGGGAGCUUGCUCCUGGUUUCAGCGGCGGACGGGUGAGUAAUGCCUAUGAAUCUGCCUGGUGGUGGGGGAUAACGUCCGUAAACGGGCGUUAAUACUGCAUACUUCCUGUGGGAGAAACUGGGGGUUCUUCUGACCUCACGCUAUCAGAUGAUCCUAGGUCGGAUUACGUAGUUGUUGGGGUAAAGGCCUACCAAGGCGACGUUCCGCAACUGGUCUGAGAGGAUGAUCAGUAACACGGGAACGGAGAAACGGUCAAGACUCCUACGGGAGGAAGAAGUGGGGAAUAUUGGAAAAGGGGCGAAAGCCUGAUGAAGACAGGCGGCGGGUGUGAAGAAGGUCUUCGGAUUGAAAAGCAUGUUAAGUGGGGAGGAAGGGCAGUAAGUUAAUAAGUUGAUGUUUUGACGGUACCAACAGAAUAAGCAACGGCUAACUUCGUG